UACGUAGGGUGCAAGCGUUAAUCGGAAUUACUGGGCGUAAAGCGUGCGCAGGCGGUGAUGUAAGACAGAUGUGAAAUCCCCGGGGCUCAACCUGGGAACUGCAUUUGUGACUGCAUCGCUGGAGUGCGGCAGAGGGGGAUGGAAUUCCGCGUGUAGCAGUGAAAUGCGUAGAUAUGCGGAGGAACACCGAUGGCGAAGGCAAUCCCCUGGACCUGUACUGACGCUCAUGCACGAAAGCGUGGGGAGCAAACAGG
rnacentral:rRNA from 1 species